rnacentral:rRNA from 1 species
GACAGAGGGUGCAAACGUUGUUCGGAAUUACUGGGCGUAAAGCGCGUGUAGGCGGCUCUGUAAGUCGGAUGUGAAAUCCCACGGCUCAACCAUGGAAGUGCAUUCGAAACUACAGGGCUAGAGUUCUGGAGAGGAAGGUGGAAUGCUUGGUGUAGAGGUGAAAUUCGUAGAUAUCAAGCGGAACACCGGUGGCGAAGGCGGCCUUCUGGACAGUAACUGACGCUGAGACGCGAAAGCGUGGGGAGCAAACAGG